UCUCGCCUUUUAGAUAUUUUAUUUAAUUUUGUGCCUGUUAACCAAUGUUUCUUAAUAUUCUUUCUGGCUUUGACACUUUCGGCUUUCUGACAUUUAAGAUAUGUUGCUCGGACUCUUCAAAAAUGUCAACAAGCACGUUUCAGAUCCUCCAAAAGUAGGGAUUGUUUGGAGGUAUCCAACAUGGGUUCAACAACACUUUUGGAGAGUCUAAGCAACAUAACAUAUAAGAGGAAAUAGACAACACACACUUAUACUUAGGAGUAUUAUAAUCAAUAAGCUUUUACCUAAUUCAGUUAACCAUGCAAAAUAGUAUCUUUCAUAUUAUGUUUAUAUACUAUUUUGCAGGUGAAGCUGUUUUUGUAGAUGGCAUUCCUUUACCACUAAACUACCUGCAUGGAGCAAUUAAGUUAAGGCAUAGAGAUUAGAGGUGCAAAAUCCUCCUCUGGUAUGACUUACUCUAAUACAUUCUUUGAAAUUCCAAACAAAAUUUUUCCAGUAAUAUCUGCUCUUCCCCUUUCUCUAAAGGAAUAUAGUACUUCAGAAAAGAACUAUCUCAGUACACAUCACAUGCAUUAGGAAUCAGUUUUGGUAAUUUACAUAAGAAACUAUAAUGAUGUCUUUAAUUAUAUCUUUUGUCAACUUUCUUUUCAAUUAUGUCAUUCCUUAAAUAUGUACUCCCUCCGUUUCAAAAAGAAUGACCUACUUUGACUUGGCACAAAGUUUAAGAAAAUAAAGAAGACUUUUGAAUCUUGUGGCCUUAAAUUAAAGUUGUGCCAAAUUUGCCAAAAUGUCAUUUAAUCUUGUGGUCCUAAACAUUUCGUUGAAAUUAAUGUAUUGCCAAAAAAGAAAAGGGGUUAUUCUUUUUUAAAUGGACUAAAAAGGAAAGCAGAUCAUUCUUUUUGAAAUGGAGGGAGUAUUUUUUAUCAAAAAAUGAAGGAGAAAGAGUGAACUAUAUAGAUUUUUCAGAUUUGAUUCAGUAAGAUGAAAGGCUAAAAAAUCUAAGUAGGGAUAAAGAUGCCCCAUCUCAUUGGGGAUGAAGAACGAAUACCAUCCUGAUGUAAUACAUCUAUUUUUAAGUUGUCGUAUCUGGCAGCGAACGAAGAAUAAGAAUAAAAGAGAUCAGCCCACAAGUAAGUAUAAUUUUCUGAUGCUCACAUUAUUUUUGCUUUUUUUGCCCUCCCCAGACCUCACUAUGUGGGAAUUCACUGGGUUUGUUGUUGUUGUUCUCAAAAGAAUGGAAAGUUUCACUAGCAAUGUUUGCAACAUGAUUUCUUUUCCAAUUUUAUUUCGGAGAGUAGGUUAAAACAACAACAACAAAAUCAGUAUAUCCCACAAAUGGACGCAGUCCAUACCAUUAUCUCAGAGAUGAGGUAGAAAUGUUGUUUCCGAAAGACCCACUGGCUCAAGACGAAAUAUUUUAUCGAAGGAUAUACUAUAAGAAUAAGACACAGUAGGUAGAAAGUAGAAACAAACAACAAAUAAUAACAAAUGAUUCCCUUGCUUGGAAAACCCUGAUCCAUCCCUUACAUGCUGCUGUGUUAAUCAGAUUAGUCAUCCCCUCUAUGGAUAAGAUGAAUAAAAAGGGGAGAGGAGAUCUCCCUAUCUCAAACCCGUUUGAAAGGGGAAAAACCAGUAGAUGCUCUGUGGAUUUGAGUAGAGAACCUCACCGUAAUAAGAAACUCUAGCAGUUACUUCUUCAUGUCCAUUUUAAAUGGCAUUUUAAGAUUUUCCACACCCUUUAAUAAAACUAGAUAAUAGCAUUAACUAUAAGGGGUUAUUUGACUAAGUUACCCUUUAUAUCAUCACUUCAAAUUACCAUUAUUCUCUUCUUAGACAUGUUAGGUCAUCUAUAGGAGCACAGGUUGAUUUGGUAAACAGAGUUGAUACCAUCUUGGUUUCCUUAAAUGGAUACAUUUAAAGUCUACCAGAGUUAGUAGGGUCUUUGUUGAGUGUUUAUUAUUUGUUGUUGUUGUACUAAUUUCUCUGUAGGUGUAGAAAAGAUCAAAUCUGUGUUGUAUUAAUGACUUUGUUCAGGUAGUUGAAAACUCAACUUUGGCAACUCUCUUGCGUGUUGUUGGAAGUGAACUGAUUCAGAAAUACUUGGGAGAUGGGCCUAAAUUGGUGAGGGAGCUCUUCAGAGUUGCAAAUGAUCUCUCACCUUCUAUCGUCUUCAUUGAUGAGAUUGGUGCAGUCGGUACCAAGAGGGUUGUGUCUGGCAUCAUUAACUUGAAGAUUGGAAUAUUAUGGAUUUCUGUUAAUUAACGUCUUUAUUUAUCCGUACGAUGCAAAUUCUGGUGGUGAACGUGAGAUCCAGAGGACCAUGUCAGAGUUGUUGAACCAGCUAGAUGGUUUUGAUUCCAGAGGAGAUGUUAAGGUGAUUCUUUCUACAAAUAAAAUCUCGAGUCUUGAUCCUGCCCUUUUGCGACCUAGUAGAAUAGACAGGAAGAUUGAGUUCCCUCUUCAUGAUAUUCAAACAAGGAGGCGGAUUUUCCAGGAUAUCAGAUACACAUAGCAAGGAUGACUUUGGCUAAUAAUGUCAACCUAGAAUAAUUUUUUAUGACCAGGGAUGAAUUUUCUGGAGCUGAUAUCAAGGCAAUAUGUACUGAAACUUGAUUGCUCGCUCUAAGUGAACAACGUAUGAAGGUGACUCAAGCAGAUUUCAAGAAGGCGAAAGAUAAGGUAAUGUUCAA